rnacentral:rRNA from 1 species
UGGGGAAUAUUGCACAAUGGGCGAAAGCCUGAUGCAGCAACGCCGCGUGAGCGAUGAAGGCCUGGGUCGUAAAGCUCUGUCCUCAAGGAAGAUAAUGACGGUACUUGAGGAGGAAGCCCGGCUAACUACGUGCC